GAUGAACGCUGGCGGCGUGCCUAAUACAUGCAAGUCGAGCGAACGGACGAGAAGCUUGCUUUUCUGAUGUUAGCGGCGGACGGGUGAGUAACACGUGGAUAACCUACCUAUAAGACUGGGAUAACUUCGGGAAACCGGAGCUAAUACCGGAUAAUAUUUUGAACCGCAUGGUUCAAAAGUGAAAGACGGUCUUGCUGUCACUUAUAGAUGGAUCCGCGCUGCAUUAGCUAGUUGGUAAGGUAACGGCUUACCAAGGCAACGAUGCAUAGCCGACCUGAGAGGGUGAUCGGCCACACUAGAACUGAGACACGGUCCAGACUCCUACGGGAGGCAGCAGUAGGGAAUCUUCCGCAAUGGGCGAAAGCCUGACGGAGCAACGCCGCGUGAGUGAUGAAGGUCUUCGGAUCGUAAAACUCUGUUAUUAGGGAAGAACAUAUGUGUAAGUAACUGUGCACAUCUUGACGGUACCUAAUCAGAAAGCCACGGCUAACUACGUG
rnacentral:rRNA from 1 species